UCGUCUUCGUCUCAUUCACUUAGGAAGCGUCAGUAAGUGUGAAUGUAAAUGAGAAAUUUAUUGUACAUUUUACACAGAUCACACACACACACAGAGGAUUUUAAUUGUCAAGCAGAUAUAUAAUCCGCUUUUAUAGGUAAUAAAACAGGUAUAUAUCUUAUUUAACGUCGAAAUAACACUGAGAAUGAAACAAAAGGUGACAAUGGACGUCGAAGGAACAGGAUGUCCUGCGACAAAGGAGGCAUCCGCCGCUUGCAGCAAAAUUGUGAUAGAUAAUGGUAUGAAUGGGCAUAUCGAGGCGGCGGAGUGCGAAGGAAGCGCAGAGAAAGGUGCGCGGUCUCCGGAAGAGAGAGAGGCCAUGCUGACUGGCGAUGUGAAGCCGAUCGAGUGCCGGGUUUACUGGACCAGGUUCCUGAUCCUGACCGUGUUCAGCCUGUACUCCAUGGUCAACGCCUUCCAAUGGAUCCAGUACAGCAUCAUCUCCAACAUCUUCAGCACUUUCUACCAGGCCUCCUACGAGCAGAUCGACUGGUUGUCGAUAGUCUACAUGCUCGUCUACGUCCCUCUCAUCUUCCCCGCCGCCUGGCUGCUCGACAAAAAAGGCUUGAGGAUCGUGGCGCUGCUGGGUUCCGGUCUCAACUGCAUCGGAGCGUGGAUUAAAAUCGCAAGCGUAAGGCGAGACCUGUUUGGGGUGACCAUGUUCGCCCAGACGGUCUGUUCCAUCGCUCAGAUUUUUAUCCUCGGGCUGCCCUCUCGGGUGGCCUCCGUAUGGUUCGGGCCCCGAGAGGUGUCUACGGCGUGCGCCACCGCCGUCCUGGGCAAUCAGCUUGGUGUGGCUUUAGGUUUUCUUUUGCCUCCAAUUUUGGUGCCUAAUACUCCAGAUGAUCUUGAUCUGAUGGCAAGCAACAUAAGUAUAUUAUUUUAUGGAACAGCUGCCGUAGCCACUGGGUUGUUCAUCCUGGUUGUAGCAGUAUUUAAAGACAAGCCUCCACUUCCUCCAAGCCAGUCCCAAGCUGUGCUUUUGGACAGCCCUAAUGAUUAUUCCUACAGACAAUCGAUUGUAAAUUUGUUUAAGAGUGUUCCAUUUGUGCUACUGCUAUUAAGUUAUGGUAUUCUGACAGGGUCAUAUUAUUCAGUAGGAACACUAUUAAAUCAAAUGAUCAUUGCUCACUAUGAGGGACAAGAAUUGAAUGCUGGUAGAAUUGGAUUAACUUUAGUGGUAGCAGGAAUGGUAGGUUCCAUCAUCUCUGGUUUCUGGGUGGACCGCACAAAGGCAUACAAGAAGACCACCCUUGCAGUCUACAUUAUUUCAUUUAUUGGAAUGCUUGUUUUCACCUUUACCAUAAGUCUUGGCCAUAUCGAAGUAGUGUUUGUGACGGCUGGAGUCUUGGGUUUUUUCAUGACUGGUUAUCUUCCAUUGGGCUUUGAAUUUGGUGUAGAAAUAACCUAUCCAGAAUCCGAGGGAACAUCAUCUGGACUUCUCAAUGCUUCUGCACAACUAUUUGGAAUUGUGUUCACACUGGCCCAAGGAAAGUUGAAAGCUGAUUAUGGCACAUUUGCAGGAAAUAUCUUUCUUUGUUCUUGGAUCUUACUGGGACUCAUUCUUACAGAGCUCCUUUUACCAGCUGCUCCUCUCUCCAGCACAGGAAGUAUAUAGCCAGUUCAACAAACUACAGGUACUAAGUUUUGAUUGUAUGUUGAGUACUGUAAAUACAUUUAGUAAACUACAAUAGGUUUUCACAAAUUUUAUGUAAAUCAAUUAGCAAAAAAGAAAUGGUGUUAGGUUAAUUAGUUAAUUGGAAAGUCUUAGAAGUUAUCAGUAGUACAUGGAAUUUGGAAACUGAGGGGAUCAACCAAUGAAUAAAAUGUGAAUCUGGAUGGAUGAUAUUAGAUCUUUUUCUUAAAUUACAUAGCUUAAGAAUGAAAUUCAGAUAGAAUGUUUAUGAAACUUCACUCCAAGUUUUGAUGGAUAAUAACUGAAGAAUUUUUGACUAAAUUAAAAUUUGAAAAGGCCUAUCAUUGUGUAGCAGUGCAGAUCACAUGAUCCCCAACAUGCUCCUCUGGUUAUCCAGUUGCAGCUCUGGGUGCGUACAAGUACAUCACACUUAAAGGCUUAGAUAAGAUAAUGGAGCAAGGAACUCUGCACCUGUUUGGGGUUCUAUAAUAUUAAAAAAAAGUCUGUUCUCCAGUGUGAGGUUGCUGCUAAUGGUUAGUCCUAGGAGAGGUUGUGCACAAAUCUUGACAACAUACACUGACUCUGCAAAACCACCUAAAUGUAUUGCAGCUUUUUAACAGAUUUCCAGUAUCUCUUCUUUAUACAGUGUGUCAUCACUCUUCUGUCACUUGAAAUAAAGGCAUGUGGCAAAACAUGGCGGCUAUGCAAGUGACGGUAAGAAAACAAAACAGUGGUAAGGGAAGAAGUUCACUUAAGUGGAUAAUCGCAAAUGAAAAGCUCACAAAGAGUAAAUUAUAAAGCUAGCUGAAACAUCUUUCAAGGAUCUGACCACUUCACACAUUAUAAUGGUCAUAAACUAUUAAGCUUUCAUUCUUGCUGUUUACAUCCUGUGAACUCUUUUGAGUGUCUGCAGCUUUGCGACACACACAUAGCUCUUGUUUAGUUUGCUGGCAUGUUUUUAUUAACAAGUCAAUUGUGAAGCUAGUCUCUUUAGGUUUUAGGAAAGAAAUAUAACCAGUCAACAUGAACGAACCAGGAUUGUGACUGUCCAUGGACAAUCGUGUACAGGGUAAGGCGGCAUUACGCUGCUGCAAGUAAGCAAAACCAUGGUGUUAUGAGAAAAAGAAAUUCUAAUAGGGAUUGAUUGUACUAUCAAUUGGAACACUGUCCCCUCACCUCUGGGGUCUUUAUUGAAUUGAGGCUGUAUGUAGUGUAUGAAUGAGGUAGUUUUAAAUACAUAAUUUGUAACUGAUAAUCUACCUCCUUAACUCACACAAUUCCCCCACCUGGGCAGCUAGUGGUUUGAUGCCAAGAGAAAAAGCUAACUCUUGAGAGGCCAGAAAAUAAAAGUAGCUGUGGUGGAAAAUAUCACACUGAUGUUCAAAGCUUACAGUUAAGACAUUGCUUUGGUGUAGAUUAGAGAGUUUUACUCUGCAUCUGACGAAUAUUGGCAGUGCCAGGUGGGCAUAAUGCUGGCUUGGGCUGGCAAAUUCUGAGCUAUUUGGUUCUGAUUUACAAAAAGUUAAAUAUUUGACAAGUUAGUGUCAGUUUAUGUUUUUGUUUCUUCAGCAGAAAGUUAAUACUCUAGUCUGUCCACCCUCUGAUGUGGAAAAGUGACAUAUUUCCUCCAGCCACUAAAAGUGGCUUGCAGUUGAUUAUUGUUAAAGGUAAUUAAUUUGUGGGUAUGACUUAAUAAUAAAAUGCCACUUUGAAAAGUAAGUAAUUGUAGAUGUUAUAUGUGCACACUCAAUUCAGUUGAGUUUUCAGUAAGUAGUUAGGCCACUGCAAAAAUCACAUUACUCAAAGGCCUCGGAUACUUCAAACAUCUAUAAGAUACAAUAAAAAGUUUACUGCAUGCAUCUGUUAAUACACUUAUUAGUUUUAAAAUAUAAAUUUUAAAAAUGGAGCAUCUCAGAAGUGAUGUACUUAAAUCUACAUGCACUACCCAUGAGAAUGCAACUUUAACAUCUUGAAUUAGCAUCUGUUUUACAUUGGACCUAGCUAUAAUGCACCACACCAAAAAGAGGAGAAAGAAUAGUUGGGAGUUAUUAUGAGGCAGUAAUUUUUUGGGGGCUUCUAGAGGACAUAAAUUUCAAGAUGAAGUGUGGAUUUCAAUCCUCUUGAACAUCUGUUUUUUUUACCCUUUAAUUUCUGGACCAUCACAGUUUUUGACAUAAUUUAUACUACUUGGUGUUGUCAGUGGUAAUUAAGCAAAGCAGUUGUCCUCGAAUAAGGGUGUGACAAUAGCAACAAGCAUUUUGAGCUGCAGUCACACAGAACGGUAAUGCUAUGCAGAAUCUAUACAGGAAGUUUUCCAAGCCUGGCUUUCUGUAGAGCUGCUUGUUCCAAGCUCAAGUCAUGCACUGUUACUGGAAAAUGAGUCUGAUCUGCUUUAAGAAUUAACUAUUUCUAACAAUUUUUUUCUUAUUUAUUUUGAAACAUAGAUAUUGAAGGCUUAUAGUUAAAAGAAACUAAACCAGUAAUAAAACUAGUUAAAUUCCACAUCUCCAAGGCUAGUGGGUAAUUCUGUUUUGGUAAAUUUCUGAUCCGCUAAUCACGUCCUCUGUUUUUAAGGCCUCAAAAUCACUCCCUUCUAUUUAUAACUUCUAAUAUGUGCUGGAUGAUUUUAUUUCUAAAUUGGUUAGUCUUGCUAUUUUCAGCCAGUGUUCUGUCUGGAAGCAGUGUGAGGUAAGGACUCUGCAAAAAAUUGUAAAGUCAAUAUUUUGUUGUAUGGUGCUAAUAUGCAGUUGAAUUAAAAUAUAACUGGAUGGUGACUUUCAUAAAGGUUUACAGAAAUCAAUUCAAUAUAUUUGUUUCUUACUGGUUUCUUCAUAAAUUGAUGCCAUUGUAUAACAUUUGUAGAAAGAUUAAGAUGUGCCUGUAACUGAUAAAUCUGUUUUUAUUAUAUAGAACAACUGCUUAAAUAAUGUCAAUGAAGUUUCUUUCAGUAAUUCUAAUUUUACUUAACUUAGCAUUGUAUUUGUAAUAUCCUUAUUUUGAAAACCGAGUCUCCAUUUUAAUAUGUGCAUUUUUGAAAGCUUCGUAUUUUGGCUUUUAAGAGAUGCUGAACAAACUUUGCUGUAUCUGAAUUUUUCUGAUAUUAUUGCUUAAUUGACUGCAUAGGCAAACUAACAACUUUUUUAAGAAAAGUCAUAUUUGCCUUAGGUUCCUAUUCUGAUAAAAUGUGCCCAUAAUGCAAAUAGAUUUUUUCAUAAUUUUUAUUUUCUUUACAGUUUUCAUAAAAGCAGACUUAAGAAGACAACAAGCAAAUUUGGCUGCAAAUGCUCAGUUUGCUGAUCGUGAUUCACUAGAAAGAGUUUCUACUGCACAAAAUGAGCUUCAUGCACCAGAAGAAACUACAAUCUAAUUAAUAUGGGAGAACGGAUGGCAGUGGUACAGCGCACAACUAGUAAAUGGCACUGAAAUAAAUAUGAAGAGCUGCUAAUGGUGCAAUGGUUAGAAAAAUGUGAUAAUUUAUUAACAGUGACCAAUAUUUAUUAGUAGUUCAAAUAAUGGACUCAUUUUAACUGGUUUCAAGAGCAUUAGAUUGUUUUAGUCCAGUAAAAUUAAUAUUUUUGCAAAAUAAAUGAUUAGAAGUUUGAUUAGUUUGGACAAAUCAUUUCUACAGAAGAUUUAAACUGGACCACAUUUCCAUUUUUAUAUAUAAAAAUGUAUGAGAGCCAAGUAACUUGAACAUCUUUGCCAGUCUUGUAUAUGGACUUUCUGCUUAAGUGUUAUUUUUAAUCGUUACUUUACCAGUGUCUGGUAAUUUUCCAAAUGUAAGCACACUGUAUUUUUGACAUUCUCAUUACUUUUUAAAAAAGAAUUGCUUUGUUUUUCUUAGUUAUUGCUCUUGGGCAUGUUGGAUGAGUUCUGAGAACGGGUCAGUGUUCUGAAAAGUGAGGGAGAAUUCAGUCUCCUGAAAAUGUAAACGCUAGCCUUCUUAAUGUUCAAAGAAGAAUUUAGUUUUUUAAGUUAAAUUGUGUAUAAAUAGCUCUUGCACAAUUUGUAACAUCCUUAAAAGCAAUUUCCAUGGAAAUGCAAUUGAUACUUGUUAAGUAGUCAAAACUGUAAUGUGCUCAGCAGUAACUCACACAAAUUUGAUAUGUUUGUAAUACAUGGUUAUAUAUAUCAGCCGAGAGUUUGAACUUUCCGUUUUUAUCCAUAGUCAUGCUAUGGAUAUCAACUAGUAUAUAUGUGAAAAUAUUAGUGGACAAAAGUUAUUCAUACACUUCACUUUGCACUUAAUUCACAUUCACAGGAAUGAAUACAGUAGGUUUAAGUUUCACAGGUGAUAUUCUAUCCUGAACUUCAUAAGAAGCUUGAGAGUAAAAUUGUAAAGUUUGUUGUCUAGUGCAGUCUAUGUACUGUAAGCCCCCAAAUGUUGGGGGUAACAAAUAUCUGUUCAUCACAAUAGUUGUGCCUUUAUUAUUGAUAUGAAAAGAUGCAACGGAUUUUAACUAUGUAGGUGCAUUAAAUUCUAAGAACUGUAUAGGAUCUAAAUGAUUAACCUCAUGUAAGAUCAUUAGUCCACCAGAUGGUACUGUAUAUAUUGGCAAUGUAGAACCAAAGUUAUUAAUUAUGUACCUAUCCUUUCCUCAUACGUUGUUAAUCUCAGUCAGAGCGUCUGUAAAGUUGGAGACAAUUCUGGUUAUCCACUUGCAAAUACUCAUAGUUCUGUCACUUUACCAGAUGAUAACCAUGAAAUUAUAAAACCUGUCACUGUGGAGUGCACAUAGUUGUGGUUACUUUGGUUCAUGUUUCACAUAUCUGUAUAUAAUUGUAUCAUUUUCUUCAUCAUGUGAUUUUAAUACACAAUGAAAUUUUUAUUUUGCACACAGUGGUUUGUGUGUUCUUUUUUUCCUGUCACUCUCUCCUUCCUUCUCCAGAUAGCUUUGCUGGAAUCAGGAAAUUUUGUCGGGAAUUGAUAGUGCUUUUAUAAUGCUAUGGUAUAUUUAGGCAUUUGAAAAGAAAAUGGGUGAGCCUGAAACUUCAACGGUUGUUUGAUGAGGGAAUUUGUAUGAACAGCAAUUAAGGCACCAUAAUCAGUAUUUUAAAGCUGCUGCUUAAUCUGGUUUUGAAGUUCUAUAUUUCAAUUUGAAAUGAGAAGAGAUUAAACCUUUUACAUGAACUCUGGGAAGGACUAGCUUGUGAAUAUUUUUGCGCUGUCCUUUCACCUUUGGGAAUGGAUUCCAAACAUACCCUGACUGAGGAAUGAAAAUCUCACUUGGAGGUUCUGUCGAUGUCUUGAGAACUAACUGUGUUGUCUCCAGCACAGGAUUUGGAUCAGGUCCGUAUGACAAAGUUGGCAGAAAUUAGAAAAUCAAGUUGAUCAGUAAAAGAAGUGGCAAGAAGAAAUGUGUACUCGUGAUUUGGAUUUUGGUCAUUGUAGGGUAAAUUUAUUCUGUUACUUUCAAAAUUGAAAUGUGAAUUUAAAAUGUUGCUGGAAAUGGUAUUAACAUAAUAGAAGAAAUUAGUUAGGAGUGUGAGAUCUUAAAAUGCUUGGGUCACCAUGAAGCUUAUUUCUCAUCACACCACCUAAGGCAGAAUUUAGUUGUAGAGUUUAGGAGUUUUUGCAGGUCUGCUCUGCUGGAUGUCAUCAGCCAGUGCUCCUGAAAGCUCUGUUUUGUCACUGGAUUAACCUAAAUUUUUGUAAUCCAUGACUCACUGGAACUAUAAAUAUUUUUAAAUCACAGGUCAGGAAGCAACUGAAGUAUGGGGAAUGUGUCCCUGAUACCGGUGGUUAGCGGUAAGACUACGUUGUAGUUUGUGUAUUAUUAAACAUUAGAAAUAUUGAUUGAACCCAUGGCAGAUAAUUAAACCAUAUUGAUACUGUACCUGUCCUUUGAAGGUUUCCUGGGUUUUCUAGUGAGUGCAUGGGAGGUGUUAAAGCAUCUUUGAAUAUUAGGUAAUUGAUAAGCUAAGUUAGUGUUACUCCCAAGUCUCUAUUGGAUAUAUAAAAACUCUAAAUUUUGCCAUAGUUUUUUUUUCAGGCUACAGUUUCUAAUAGAGUAUAUUGAAAAGCUUUAUUUGCUUACUGGAUAGCUAAUGUGUUUGGGAUCUUUUUCUUUUUCAUCUAACCAUUUUUUUCUAUUUCCUAUUGAUUAUUUUUGGAAGCCCAACUGUCUUUUCACUUUUUGCCUAGGUAGACAUUAUACAAACCUCGGCACUUAAAUUAUCUUGCUACUGCUGUGCUUGCUUCCUAUGUUCUCAGCAGGUAUAUAUUUUCAGCCAGCAGGGUAGUAAUUGUUGUAGUAUAUCCUCUUUAAGCAAGGGCACACUGUAGAAACAUAGUUGACUGAAUGACAAACUAGUGCAAAUCAGAAUUCAACUCCAGUCUUUAUUUCUACCCUGGCUGUGCUAUUCGGAUCGCAAUCAUUGAUAAACAUCACAAGUGUAUUUAUGUCACAUGCUGAGCCAUUUUUCAUUAUGAAAUAUUCUUUGUAAUUGUGGUAAGUAGGGCAGAUCAGCUAACAAAUUAUAUUUCAUUUGCAUCUGAGACCCAAAAUCUGCCCUGAAUAGCUUGAACCAAAACGCUGGAUCAGGCAACAUCUGUUGGAAGGGAAGAAAGGAAGUGUCAGUGUUUAGGAUUUAAACCCUACAUCAUGAUUAAGAAGGAGGAGAAAGCUGGUAUAAAGAAAGGGGUGUGAUGAGACGGGCUAGAGGUGAUUAGUGGACCUGCAGUAAGUGGGGUGAAAACUGACAGAUCGAGGGGUAAGAGUAAGGAGACAGGCAGUUGGCCUUAGGGAUGACUGGCCCAACCAACAAAUCAAGAAACUACGUUAUAUCAUUCACAUAAUUUAAUUUGUCUUAAUUGUUGUAACUACUGAUGGCUCAACUGGCCACUAACAUAGAAUCACAAGUACUAGCAAACAAGGAUGCCAAUUGCUCAAUGCCCAUAUCAUUAAAAACUCUGGCUAUUUAAUUACCUUGUUUCCUGGUAGUGAUUAGUAGCCUUGCAGGUCACAGCUCUCCCAGAUUUCUGACUCUUCAACCCUUUCAGGCAGAGAGGUACUCACUGUUUUAAACAAAAGCUUUUUCCUUGCAUCUAAUCCUACUAUCAGUUGAUUAUCCAGCCUCCAUUUAAAAUUACCUCUACCUGAAAUCUUAUUUUUAUUCCAACUUAAUGCUUUCUCUUGGAUCCCAUGAGUGUUUAAUUUCCUGAUUAUUCUGAUAUGUUCUUCAGAACUUUGUCAAAAACUUUUACUAUGUUCCAGCCAUCCUUGUUAAUCUCCAUAAAGAUCUAUCUUCCUCUUCUGUUGAUUAACAAGCUCCUCUUGUGGUGAUUUAGGCCCUGUCCCAGAAUUAUUUCCAACACUUUUGGCCACACUCUGUUCCUAACAGAACCUUUUCUGUUUCCUGCCACAUGGUUUACUUUGAAAUUGUGAAUUUAAUGCUAUUGUUUGAUCCAUUUUCAGCAAUAGCAUUAUACGUUAUGAAAAUUGCAUAAUCUGUCUAAUCACUGAGAUAGCGUAUCUGUGGUCAAGAUUGCACACAAUUUGAAUAUGUAUUUUGACUGAAAAAAGAUGCUACAAUAUGUGACAAAUAGAAUAUGAAUCUAGCUCAUUUCAGCAUUACUAGAUGUCUAUUUCUAAAUAUUUCUUCAGCUAACUGGCAUUUGUCAAUUUGAUUUGGGGGGGGUGGGGGAGCUAAAGAAAUCACUGUCCUAAUCAUGUUUGUAAUUUAAAUUAUCAUUUGAGUGUUUUUAUAAGUUCACUCUUUAAGAAAAAAAUGAGACAUAUUUCAGUAGUUAUGUUUAAUGUUUAUUGUGGUUGGUUCAAGAUACUUCCAUAACUUGUAAUGGGGAAUUUUAUUCAUAAUUAUUACAGCAGUGUACUGGAGCAGCAAGGUAGACUGACGCUGUAGGAGCAACUGUUGAAAAGUAUUGCGUGAGAGGAUCUAAAGGUAUAAUAUUUACUGAAUGGCAGGGUAAUGUUUGUUAAUUAUGUUCUGUCUGAUGGAAUGUUUCAAUAUAUAUUCUGAGCUUAAGAGCACUGGUCUGAGUAGAGUUUGCUGCUAAAUAUAGCAAGUUAUCAGAUUUGAGAGUAGUUUUCAGAGAUUCAUUUUCCUCUGAUGCCAUUCCUGUUCUCUAUUUGUUUAAUCACUAAGAAAAUAAAUAAAUCUGUUUGUUUAUUUUGUACUUUCAAUUGUCAUUUCAUUGGUUUCAGUUAACAGAAUCUUAUUGAAUAGGAGUGGCCAUUUCUACUCCCUGAUAUCUUUUUCAUAAUUAACUAUUUUUUUCUUUUACAACAAUAUAAUUUUUUUCUAAACUAUCAGUUAAUAUGGUCCCACUCCCUUUUUGGAUAACUAUUUCCUUCUGGUCCAAAUGUUACCAUGCGCUUGUGUCCCCAUGGUUAUUCACUCACAGUAGAACCUACAUCAAGAACGAUUAAUCAUUAUCAGUUUUUCCCCCUUUGCCUAGAUUUAAGGAGGGAAAAAAGGGUGCUCUUACCUGGAGGUAUUGGUCAGGUUUAAAUUUUAGUAGCCAUUACUACCAAUAGUUAAUUGUGUACAAAUCGCAGAUGUCUUGUUUUGAGUUGUGCAGUUUUGGCCUUAAGUUUUCAUUAUUAGAGAAAAGAAAAUGUUACUGAUGAGGAAAAAAUGCAGCAGGGAUGAAUUGAUGGCUAUUUUUAUUAAUGGUACAAUUAUUGCAAGUUGUUGGUUUUGAUGAAAUGCUAUGAGAACAAAAUAGAACUUGCACUGGUGUCUUCAGUUUACCCUUGCCUAUGUAUAAAUGCAUCCAUAUUUCCUGAUCUUAGCUAUGCUAUUGGAGAACCAUUUGGAACUUGGUACAAUUCACUUUUUUCCCUUUAUCCUACCAUCCCAUGAAAAUGUGAACAUGCCAUUGUUUCCCUAAAAUUUUUAGUUUUCUGUCAAUAUGUCAGUUGGACCCAAGUCCUACAUUCAAAGAAAUUGUACUUUUCCAUUCCUUUUUUUUGUAGAUAGAUGGUAUGUACUAAAAGGAUGGUUUACAUCCUAUUCGUUACUCAGACUUCCGAUAAUACUUCAAAAUAAGUUGUAAUCCUUGAUUGUAGGAAUCAUUUUGUAGAACUAUAGAAGAAUGCUUGAGUGGUUUAUCAUUAAGCUAGUUGUUAUUUUUAAGUAAUUUUUCCCCUUAACUAGUUAAUCAUUUUGUUAUACUUGUGUGUCUAUACACUCCAACUUGAAGAGUUUUGGUACCCUUUUAUUGGGUCUCAUUUAAAGAUUUUGAACUUGCAUAAUUGUUAAUAUUGUAAUGCAAUGAUUGUAUUAUGUAUGUAUAUGUGUGGUUGUUAUACACAAUAUCUUCAAGUGGUUUUCUUCUUUGCCUACAAUGAUCAGCUUAAAAUGCCCAGCUUGGUAAGAUUUUACAUUUUGUGGCUACACACUCUUAAAAAGGACAUCUUACUCGGCAUAUAAUGGGUAUAUUAUCAUUGUUUAAAAUUACCUUAUGUGGAAUAAAUUGAUCCAGCAAACACCAUUAGGCUAUGAAAAUGUUCCCCAUUAAAUGAACAUUUUCCACAACCAAGGUGCCUUGGUUGACUGUAAUAUGGAAAUGUUGAAUCAUCAUUGUCGAUUACAAUUAUUUCUUAAUAGAUUUUUAAUUCAGUGAGGUAUUAAAAGUUGCUGAUAUACUUCAUGAAUUCUCCUUAAUCAAUUUAAUGUUAUCUUUUGUCGACUAGGUAUUUCCAAUGGUGUUUUUCUAUAGUAUUGCCCCUGUUUGAAAAACUACUGAAUUUUUUUCCUCUCUUGCAAACACUGAAUGUUAUGUCUAAGGAUUCGUUUAGCUGAAUAUUGACAAUUGUUUUACACAACUGUUCAACAGUAAGUUGACAUAUUUGCUGUACCUGACAUAGUUUAAACAAAUACUUCAACACUAAUUAAGAGCUAGCUUAAAAGUUCAAUGACUUUUUUAAUCUGUAUGACAAAAUUCUAUUUUUUUAGACUUGUAGAACUAUGUAUCAGUAUAGUUUACAAAGCAAAGCAGAUAAUUUAUUAAUUUGUUACAUGUUGAACCUCGUGUCUCAGAACUGUUGUAUCCUCAACUAUGUACAUGGUCUCAGACAGCGUGUUUAAGAUGAUUCAGAUAUCUUCUUUCCAUAUUUAAGCUGUUUAACGUUGUGUCUGUAUCUGAUGUAAUUUAAUAUGUUUGCUUGCACCUAUCUGUCAAUGUUUUUUACUAAUCUGGAUAGAUGAAAAUGGAUUGUGCAUGUAUUCAAAGUAUGAACAAUUUGAAGAUCAAUGUAAUUUGUGCUGUUUUUUGGGAGGGAAACCAUGGUGACUUUGACAGAAAAAUCUUAGUGAACUCUGGAGAAGAUUUAAGGUUUUUCAAUAGUUACCCAUUGUGCAUUUAAAACUUUGUAACCCUUUCAGAAGGGAUUUCAUUCAUUGGAUGAGUCAUUGCAGUGAAUGGUGUUUUUCCAAUGUAUAUAUUUACUUCAUUGUAACUUGAAAAUAAUAGUUGCUGAAAUGAUGGUGCUUUUGAAUGUCAGUGCUCAAGCAAAUUCGGUCUCCAUUAGGUUAUCCUUGCACUGCGUUGGAUGUCUGAUGUCAUGAGAGCAAUUUUGCUUGCAUUGGAUGGAUUUAAUUCAGUAAUGUGUCAAUUUGCUCAGCUUUUGUAAUUUCUAUAUUGCUUACUUUUCAUGUUAAAAGUAUGUGGUUUCUAUUGAUCCCACGUUUUUGGUUUGCAUUAAUUUUACACUGAGAGUCAUCUAAACUAAACACCAGUCUUUUUAACAAGCAGUCAUUUCUUCCCAGUUAAUUUGAACUGAGAAAAAAGAACCACCCAAAAUAAACAUUUGGUGACUUCCCUGAAUUUAAGAUGCUGCUUUUGUUUAAAUAAUGAACCCACCUUUUUCAAAAGCAGUUGGCUAUUUAAAAAAAAGUUUAUUUGCUCUAUUCUGGAAUGGAAAUAUUACUUUGCUCUUGUAAGAAGGGGAGCAAAGAGUGGGGAUUUUUUUUGUGGUAAAGUUGUGUUCGUGUGGAUUUUCUGUCAAAGUUGCUUGAGUUGAAGAUAGAGUUUCAACACAAGUGUUUAGGUUAUUUCUGUUUUAUUGCCUUCUAUGCGCUUUUGAUAGGUUUUCUGGAGUGCAAAUCACCCUAUUGUAUGGCUUAUGGUAAUAAUCCUACAUCUUGAUUGCAACUCAAGUGUAAUAGAUUUUAUCUGACAGGUAAUCUGAACCUUCUUUCAUGCUUAUUGGUACCCAAUCUUUGAGCAGCAAAGCUCUAAAUCAUUAGAAUGUAAUGGACAUCAGUACAGGGAGGAUGCCAUGAGUAUGCUAUAUAAAAAUGCUUUCCAGGAUUCUGAAAGUACCAUUUGGUUCUUCAACUUUGGGUGGAGAGUUUCUUCCAUGUGAACAUUUAAAUCAUUUAUCUGAUUUAGCACUGUGAACAAACUGUGUAUAACAACUGAAUAUCUAGUUUUCUUUGCUUCUAUGUGUAAUUAAGUUCUAUUGUGUGUAUAUUGUAUAAUCUCUUAUUUUGCUUAAAACAUUUCAAAAUAAAAUGUCGAUAUUAAACAGCCUCUUGUGUAUUAUU